rnacentral:rRNA from 1 species
CCUACGGGCGGCAGCAGUGAGGAAUAUUGGUCAAUGGGAGAGAGCCUGAACCAGCCAAGCCGCGUGAGGGAAGACGGCCCUAUGGGUUGUAAACCUCUUUUGUCGGGGAGCAAAACCCGGGACGUGUCCCGGCCUGCGUGUAUCCGAAGAAAAAGCAUCGGCUAACUCCGUGCCAGCAGCCGCGGUAAUACGGAGGAUGCGAGCGUUAUCCGGAUUUAUUGGGUUUAAAGGGAGCGUAGGCGGGUGGUUAAGUUAGUUGUGAAAGUUUGCGGCUCAACCGUAAAAUUGCAGUUGAUACUGGCAUCCUUGAGUACAGUAGAGGUAGGCGGAAUUCGUGGUGUAGCGGUGAAAUGCUUAGAUAUCACGAAGAACUCCGAUUGCGAAGGCAGCCUGCUGGCCUGUAACUGACGCUGAUGCUCGAAAGUGUGGGUAUCAAACAGGAUUAGAUACCCGAGUAGUC